UAAUACGGAGGGUGCGAGCGUUGUCCGGAAUCACUGGGCGUAAAGGGCGCGUAGGUGGCUUGGCAAGCGUGUGGUGAAAGCCCGGGGCUCAACCCCGGGUCUGCCGUGCGAACUGCUAUGGCUUGAGCACUGUAGAGGCAGACGGAAUUCCGGGUGUAGCGGUGGAAUGCGUAGAGAUCCGGAGGAAGACCGGUGGCGAAGGCGGUCUGCUGGGCAGUUUCUGACACUGAGGCGCGACAGCGUGGGGAGCAAACAGGAUUAGAUACCCUGGUAGUCCACGCCGUAAACGAUGGGUACUAGGUGCCUGGGGGAGCGACCCUCUGGGUGCCGGCGCUAACGCAGGAAGUACCCCGCCUGGGGAGUACGACCGCAAGGUUG
rnacentral:rRNA from 1 species